rnacentral:rRNA from 1 species
AGUUUGAUCCUGGCUCAGGAUGAACGCUGGCGGCGUGCCUAACACAUGCAAGUCGAGCGAAGCGAUUUGACGGAAGUUUUCGGAUGGAAGACAAAUUGACUGAGCGGCGGACGGGUGAGUAACGCGUGGGUAACCUGCCUCAUACAGGGGGAUAACAGUUAGAAAUGACUGCUAAUACCGCAUAAGCGCACAGCAUCGCAUGGUGCAGUGUGAAAAACUCCGGUGGUAUGAGAUGGACCCGCGUCUGAUUAGCUGGUUGGUGGGGUAACGGCUCACCAAGGCGACGAUCAGUAGCCGACCUGAGAGGGUGAUCGGCCACAUUGGGACUGAGACACGGCCCAAACUCCUACGGGAGGCAGCAGUGGGGAAUAUUGCACAAUGGGGGAAACCCUGAUGCAGCAACGCCGCGUGAGUGAAGAAGUAUUUCGGUAUGUAAAGCUCUAUCAGCAGGGAAGAAAAUGACGGUACCUGACUAAGAAGCCCCGGCUAACUACGUGCCAGCAGCCGCGGUAAUACGUAGGGGGCAAGCGUUAUCCGGAUUUACUGGGUGUAAAGGGAGCGUAGACGGCGCUGCAAGUCUGAAGUGAAAGCCCGGGGCUCAACCCCGGGACUGCUUUGGAAACUGUAAUGCUAGAGUGCUGGAGAGGUAAGUGGAAUUCCUAGUGUAGCGGUGAAAUGCGUAGAUAUUAGGAGGAACACCAGUGGCGAAGGCGGCUUACUGGACAGUAACUGACGUUGAGGCUCGAAAGCGUGGGGAGCAAACAGGAUUAGAUACCCUGGUAGUCCACGCGGUAAACGAUGAAUGCUAGGUGUUGGGGAGGAAAAGCUCUUCGGUGCCGUAGCAAAACGCAAUAACCAUUCCACCUGGGGAGUACGUUCGCAAGAAUGAAACUCAAAGGAAUUGACGGGGACCCGCACAAGCGGUGGAGCAUGUGGUUUAAUUCGAAGCAACGCGAAGAACCUUACCAAGUCUUGACAUCCUUCUGACCGGCGCGUAACGGCGCCUUCUCUUCGGAGCAGGAGUGACAGGUGGUGCAUGGUUGUCGUCAGCUCGUGUCGUGAGAUGUUGGGUUAAGUCCCGCAACGAGCGCAACCCUUAUCCUUAGUAGCCAGCAGUAAGAUGGGCACUCUAGGGAGACUGCCAGGGAUAACCUGGAGGAAGGUGGGGAUGACGUCAAAUCAUCAUGCCCCUUAUGAUUUGGGCUACACACGUGCUACAAUGGCGUAAACAAAGGGAAGCGAAGCCGCGAGGUGAAGCAAAUCCCAAAAAUAACGUCCCAGUUCGGAUUGUAGGCUGCAACUCGCCUGCAUGAAGCUGGAAUCGCUAGUAAUCGCGAAUCAGAAUGUCGCGGUGAAUACGUUCCCGGGUCUUGUACUCACCGCCCGUCA